GCAAUUUGUUUGCUUGUGGCUUUCAAGAGUUAAUCCUGGUUGUUUCUUUGGCUUGUAUCGCCAUCCAAACGGGAAUCAGACAGAAACAAAGUAUAGUUCUGUGAUUUCUCGAUUGUUAAUUGGAUUUUUUGUUUUUGGUUUUAAUGUGAAAUUGGAUUUUAAGUUGAACAAAUGCAACAUCACCAUUGUAUAAACAUGAUGAUCUCCACAGUUUAUGAAGGUUUUUUGCACGUAUAUAUAUAGAGAAAAUCUUUCAAGAGUUUUUACGUUUGUCUCACUAAUUUCGUCUUCCAUUCUCUCGUCUUU